GAACGCUGGCGGCAGGCCUAACACAUGCAAGUCGAACGGUAGCACAGAGAGCUUGCUCUCGGGUGACGAGUGGCGGACGGGUGAGUAAUGUCUGGGAAACUGCCUGAUGGAGGGGGAUAACUACUGGAAACGGUAGCUAAUACCGCAUAACGUCGCAAGACCAAAGAGGGGGACCUUCGGGCCUCUUGCCAUCAGAUGUGCCCAGAUGGGAUUAGCUAGUAGGUGGGGUAACGGCUCACCUAGGCGACGAUCCCUAGCUGGUCUGAGAGGAUGACCAGCCACACUGGAACUGAGACACGGUCCAGACUCCUACGGGAGGCAGCAGUGGGGAAUAUUGCACAAUGGGCGCAAGCCUGAUGCAGCCAUGCCGCGUGUAUGAAGAAGGCCUUCGGGUUGUAAAGUACUUUCAGCGGGGAGGAAGGUGUUGUGGUUAAUAACCACAGCAAUUGACGUUACCCGCAGAAGAAGCACCGGCUAACUCCGUGCCAGCAGCCGC
rnacentral:rRNA from 1 species